UCCUACGGGAGGCAGCAGUAGGGAAUAUUGGACAAUGGGCGAAAGCCUGAUCCAGCAAUGCCGCGUGAGUGAUGAAGGCCUUAGGGUUGUAAAGCUCUUUUACCCAGGAGAUGAUAAUGACAGUACUCGGGGGAAUAAGCCCCGGCUAACUCCGUGCCAGCAGCCGCGGUAAU
rnacentral:rRNA from 1 species